AACGUAGGGUGCGAGCGUUAAUCGGAAUUACUGGGCGUAAAGCGUGCGCAGGCGGUUUUGUAAGCCAGAUGUGAAAUCCCCGGGCUUAACCUGGGAAUGGCAUUUGGGACUGCAAGGCUCGAGUGCGGCAGAGGAGACUGGAAUUCCUGGUGUAGCGGUGGAAUGCGCAGAUAUCAGGAGGAACACCGAUGGCGAAGGCAGGUCUCUGGGCCGCAACUGACGCUGAGGAGCGAAAGCAUGGGGAGCGAACAGG
rnacentral:rRNA from 1 species